ACAAUGAGAAUUGUGAAAUUCCUUGUAUGGCAUAAUGUGAAAUGAGGAAAUUCACUAAGUGAGUUAAAAAGCGAAUUAGGAAGAUUAAUCGUGUAUGAUCAUGUGAUUUCAUAUAAGUAAUCAAUACGCUCUUAGACUUGUAAUAUCACUCUUGUGGACAUUAAUUCAUGUCGAGUAAAACAAGUUUGGCGAUGAAAGUUGACACUGGCUUGAAGCUAAACAAGUCUUGGCACUGUUAGGAUACGGCGCAGCUGCGCCAUCCCAGCAGUACAAACUGGCGCAGCUGCACCAGAGAUCAGUUGGAGAAAAUUUAGUUUUCUUCUGUGACAAUGAAAUGGG
rnacentral:lncRNA from 1 species